CCAGCAGCCGCGGUAAUUCCAGCUCCAAUAGCGUAUAUUAAAGUUGUUGCAGUUAAAAAGCUCGUAGUUGGAUUUCUGACUUGAACGUUCGGUCCGCUUGUGUUCUGCACGAGUGCGUACUAUGAAUGUUUGGGUCAUUUUUUGCGGGGAAAUUCUUCUGCCAUUAAGUUGGUGGUUUUAUGGACCCGCAUCGUUUACUGUGAAAAAAUUAGAGUGUUUAAAGCAGGCGUUUUGCUCAUUGAAUACAUUAGCAUGGAAUAAUAAGAUACGACUCCGGUGGUCUAUUUUGUUGGUUUGCACACCAGAGUAAUGAUUAAUAGGGACAGUUGGGGGUAUUCAUAUUU
rnacentral:rRNA from 1 species